rnacentral:rRNA from 1 species
CGUGUAUGCGGUUUUUUAAGUCUGAUGUGAAAGCCCCGGGCUUAACCUGGGAAGUGCAUUGGAAACUGGAAGACUUGAGUACGGGAGAGGAAAGCGGAAUUUCGAGUGUAGGGGUGAAAUCCGUAGAUAUUCGAAGGAACACCAGUGGCGAAGGCGGCUUUCUGGACCGAUACUGACGCUGAGACGCGAGAGCGUGGGGAGCAAACAGGAUUAGAUACCCUGGUAGUCC